CAAACCUCAGAGGUGCUUCUUCUGUCAGGUGGUGUUUGGUGUCAUGGGAGGUGUUUGGCUCCUGGGUACUUGUGUGUUGGCUGCCUGGCUCAACAAAGGUUUUUACUGGGGGAUCAUUAUGGUUCAGCGCACAAUAUUGAACAAUACAUUGUGUGUACAUUGUCCUGUCUUCAAGGUUGUGUUUUCUGGUGGAGGAGCUAAAUGGACAAUCGCACAAUGAAGAGCAGAAGAUGCAUGCCUGUAAAGGAUUGGUCCUACAUGAAAAUUAUGUUUCUUUGAAGACCACAGUGCAUCUCCAGUCAACGACUUCCAUGUUGAAGAAAUGAGCUGAAAAGGUACAACUGGAAAGAAAUUAAGUGGAUGGGGCUGGGAAACAUGAUUGGUAUGCCUGGUAUGGACACAACGUGUCAAGCGACGCCUCCCACGACCACGCGUCAAGUGACGCCGACCACACGUCAGAACUUGGAUUGCAAUGAUUUCAUACCUACAGACUUGGGUGGAGAAGUACUAAAACAGAUUCCAAGCACAACACAGAUUAAAACAAGUCGGGUCACAAGCAGAAUACGUUUUUUUUUUGUUUUUUUUGUGUGGGGGGGGGGGACCCUGAUUUCACAGAUCUGGGCCCGUAUUCUCCCUGUCCCCUCAAAGAGCUCUUAUCUUAGCCUAAAAAUUCUUGGCCAGGAUUCUGAGCUUAAGUGUGAUUUUGUUCACUGUUGAGAGCAACUCUGCUAUGGAGAUGACAAAUUCCUAUCUUAGCGAGGUGUCGUUGACCCUGUUGCUAGGUGUGACACUGUCUUCUAAGGACUGAUUAAAGAAACGAAGUGUUCCUACUAAUCAAUGGAGAGAACUUAACUGAUGAUGGAAUGUAGACUAGAUUCAAAAAUCUGUAAAUCAUAAAACUUAGCAAGGUUGAAUUGUCACACAGUAUGAGAAUGUUAACUUAUAGUGAAUGUAGCUUAUUUACACAAUCAUUAUUUUGAUCUGCUUAUUUACUUGCUGUGCUGGCCAUUUUUAUAUUGCAUUUAUGUCUUUAAUAAAAUUCAGUAUUUUCACUGUUAUAGAUUCUUGUUUGGUAAAAUUACCAAAACAAAAUGUAGGGAAAAAGAUGGAGAAAACCAAACUGGACAGAGGAGCAGAGCCUGCUGGUGGAGAAGAGAAGUGUUGAAAGGUAGACUUAGUCCUGGAAUCACAGUGUGAACAAAAAGACAUUCCCGAGCAGAUCAAUGCGGCGUUCCCUCUGCUUUCAGCCACAGCUUGGAAUGUGAGCAGUGCUGGUACUGCAAUCAGAAGCUAGAAAGGAAAUUGCAGCACACCAGAGAACUUCUCCACCGAUGGGGAGUGUUGUAGAUGACAAUUUAGGUUUAGACAACUGACAUCAUAUACAAGACAGCAAAUACUUAACCCCAUUAACAUCUUCCUUCUAUGUAUAUAAUGCUUAUAUUAGUGUACUGUAUCUUGCCUAGAGUUUGUAUAUAUUGGAAUUUUUCUAAUUUUACUGUCUGUAAAUAUUUAAAUUCUGUAUGAUUUUGUUUGUAAAUUCUUCCACUUAUUUAUGGUUAUUCUAUUUAUUUGUCCUUCCUAGUAUUACCUUAUUAGAGGUGCACCGUUAAUCUGUCCUGCUGCUAAAACAAUAAAAUUUUGCCCCAGA